rnacentral:rRNA from 1 species
CAGCCGCCGCGGUAAUACGUAGGGUGCGAGCGUUAAUCGGAUUUACUGGGCGUAAAGCGUGCGCAGGCGGCCCGUUAAGACAGGUGUGAAAUCCCUGGGCUCAACCUAGGAAUUGCGCUUGUGACUGGCGGGCUCGAGUACGGUAGAGGGGGGUGGAAUUCCUGGUGUAGCAGUGAAAUGCGUAGAGAUCAGGAGGAACACCGAUGGCGAAGGCAGCCCCCUGGGCCUGUACUGACGCUCAUGCACGAAAGCGUGGGGAGCAACCAGGAUUAGAUACCCUGGUAGUCCACGCCCUAAACGAUGGGUACUAGCCGUUUGGUGCGCGAUAGCGCUGAGUGGCGAAGCUAACGCGUGAAGUACCCCGCCUGGGGAGUACGGCCGCAAGGUUGAAACUUAAAGGAAUUGGCGGG